rnacentral:rRNA from 1 species
CCUACGGGAGGCAGCAGUGGGGAAUAUUGGACAAUGGGCGAAAGCCUGAUCCAGCAAUGCCGCGUGAGUGAUGAAGGCCUUCGGGUCGUAAAGCUCUUUUACCAGGGAUGAUAAUGACAGUACCUGGAGAAUAAGCUCCGGCUAACUCCGUGCCAGCAGCCGCGGUAAUACGGAGGGAGCUAGCGUUGUUCGGAAUUACUGGGCGUAAAGAGUACGUAGGCGGUUAUUCAAGUCAGAGGUGAAAGCCCGGGGCUCAACCCCGGAACUGCCUUUGAAACUAGAUAACUAGAGUCUUGGAGAGGUUAGUGGAAUUCCGAGUGUAGAGGUGAAAUUCGUAGAUAUUCGGAAGAACACCAGUGGCGAAGGCGACUAACUGGACAAGUACUGACGCUGAGGUACGAAAGCGUGGGGAGCAAACAGGAUUAGAUACCCUGGUAGUCCACGCCGUAAACGAUGAUAACUAGUUGUUCGGUCACUUGGUGACUGAGUGACGCAGCUAACGCAUUAAGUUAUCCGCCUGGGGAGUACGGUCGCAAGAUUAAAACUCAAAAGUAGUAUAGGACGUGAGAGAGCGACGACGACGACGACGGAGGAGGAG